rnacentral:lncRNA from 1 species
AAAUAGUUCAUGUCAUUUUUCCCGUGAUAUUGAUGUCUUUGUGUAUUUGUGUAGGUUACUCAAAUAGAGGAAGGAUAUGUUCACUCACGCGAAAAGAAUCUGAAAAAGACAAAGCACAUGGAGACAAGACCACAUGGUUCACAAGUUGAGGAACAAAGACAAAGGCUCCGAAUGGAGAAAGCGGAUCGAGCGGAGAGGAUCAAGCGGAUCAUGCAGAUCAAGCAGAACUAGUGCGGAUCAAGCGGAUCUGACGGAACAAAUGCAAAUCAAGCGGAUCUAGCGGUUCAAAAAAUAUGUGAAUGGUGAAAGCGGAUCAAGUAAUGCGGUUCAAAUAUUUAUAUAAUAAAAUAU